CGACAGCCUCUCCUCGCGAAACUAAGGUCCGCCCGCUAGGCCGGCCGCGCCUCGACGCGCCGGCUCUCGUCAAUCGAACACGCGCGG
rnacentral:ncRNA from 1 species